CCCUUAGAUGUUCUGGGCUGCACGCGCGCUACCCUGUCGGAUUCAGCGAGUCAUAUCCUUAACCGAAAGGUUUGGGUAAUCUUUUGAAAGUCCGACGUGAUGGGGAUUGAUCAUUGCAAUUAUUGAUCAUGAACGAGGAAUUCCUAGUAAGCGCGAGUCAUCAGCUCGCGUUGAUUACGUCCCUGCCCUUUGUACACACCGCCCGUCGCUACUACCGAUUGAAUGGUUUAGUGAGAUCUUCGGAUUGGCGCCUACGCGGCUUCUCUGAGGCCACGCUGGAUGCCGAAAAGUUGCUCAAACUGUAUCAUUUAGAGGAAGUAAAAGUCGUAACA
rnacentral:rRNA from 1 species